rnacentral:lncRNA from 1 species
AUUUGCCCUUACAUUUGUACAGGAAUGUGUCAGCCAAUCAACAUCUAGGGCACACAUCUAACAAACUCCCACUUGACCUAAUGCCAAUUGGCUACAUAUCUAAGUUCCAUCUUCUCAAGGUGGGCUUCGAUCUUCUGCUGGCCUAAUGGCUUUGUCAGUGGGUCUGCCGCAUUGUCUGUGGAGUCGACUCUCUUAACCUCGACAUAAUAUUUUUUGAGGUAAUCAGGGAUC